UACGGAGGGAGCUAGCGUUGUUCGGAAUUACUGGGCGUAAAGCGCACGUAGGCGGCUUUGUAAGUUAGAGGUGAAAGCCCGGAGCUCAACUCCGGAACUGCCUUUAAGACUGCAUCGCUUGAAUCCAGGAGAGGUGAGUGGAAUUCCGAGUGUAGAGGUGAAAUUCGUAGAUAUUCGGAAGAACACCAGUGGCGAAGGCGGCUCACUGGAGCUGGUAUUGACGCUGAGGUGCGAAAGCGUGGGGAGCAACA
rnacentral:rRNA from 1 species